UUUUUUUUUUUUUUUUUUUUGGAGGGGGGCUGGGAAUUGGGAUCAUUUUCAAGAAAAGCAAGAAGCCUCAGGCACUUGACUUAAAAAGAUAUUAAGAAAAAUGAAAGUCUGCAGAAUUAAAGGCAUUCUGAGAACAAAUCCCUUUUCAAGGACCCCUCUUGAUGUUUCUUCUGCAAGCAUUUUUAGGAGAACCAAGAUAGAUAGAUAAGGCCCUCUAUUUCAUGAGGAAAUGAGAAAAUAUAUCUACCCAAAAACCCCUUUCAGGAUUUUAACAACAUAGUGCCCAAGACACAUAUUUGUGUCCCCAGUUUUAUGAAGUUUAAAAUUUCUUGGCUUUCAGGCUUUGAUGUAAGAGAUAAAACAUAAUUUUAGUGUUUUUUCUUAGAAUUAUGAGUGGCUUCAGAGAGGUUAGGAAGUGUCUCACAUUGAAAUCAGAGGAAGUAAUUCACAGCCACAAAAACAUGUUGAAUGAAGAUGAAAAUAGUGUUUAAAAGAAUGAAGAAAGCAUCUUUGGGAUAUUUAUGGAAGUGUACUAGAGAACGUGUUCAUCAAAUAUCUUUGAAUUAUUAUCCCAAAAAGAUGGCACAAACACAGCACAGCUACAUCCUCGGUCCUGCUCCAGUGCUCCCACUGGUGGCGUUCCCCUUCAGAUGCUCUGUGCAAUCUUCGUGUUAGGCUGGGGCCAAGAAACACCACGGUACCCAUCUUUGCUUAGGGGCAGAAUUCCUGUAAAACCAUGGAAUAUAUGUAGGGCCACAGAAAGCCAAAACCAGCCCCCAUUUGCUGUCUGCUGGCCUCAGCUGCACUACAACUGGUCUGGACAGUAAAUACAGACAAUAUCAGAGCAAAGUAGAAAAACUGUAGAUCUUCAGAACACCAACAUUCUCUCAUAGUGCAAGAACCCUGCUUUGAAUACAGUGUAUUGCAGGAGGUAAUUGGAAAGAAAUCUGCUCUAGAGACUCAGAAACCGUGAAAAUUUCCUCUGGCAUGCAGGUUAGAUCCUCUCAUCCACAGAGGAGAAGGAGCUGCAUACUUUAUCCUCAAGCCUGAGUCAAGGAGGGCAGAGAAUUACCUCUGCUUGGCCUCCUACAGCUACACCACCUGCCCUACAGCACAGCAGGACUCCAGACCCAGGCUCAUCUAUAAACACUGAGCUGCUUCCCCAGGGAAGCAGCGUACCCUCAGCCCUGUUGGUUUGACUACCCAAAGUAUCCAAAGGCUUGGUUGGAGCCUUCUGGGGACACUGCCAUUUGGCUUGGCCUUCACACAGUCAGGCCUGUGCUGUUCAGUGGCUCAGCACUCUUUCAGACAAAUCAUGCAGCUUUGGCAGCUCUGGCUGAUAGGGAGAGGAUGAUCAAGACCAAAAGAAGGUUCAGGAGUCAAAGAGUGGGUCUUUCCUCUGAUAUGAGAUGGUGAGCAGCAGCAACAGCAUCUUGGCAGCCUAUUUCUGUGUCUUCUAAAUCAAGGAGCAAAACCAAGUGUAACACCCUGAGGGGUACACAGUUCUGCAGCACCAGCCACUCACCAAUAUCACACCUCCUCCCACCUGUGUCCUCCCAAUAUCACAACUUUCCCCUGCUUUACAGAGGCAUCCUCACUUCCCAUAGCCUCACGUCUCAGCAACAUAGUGCUGUUGGGUAAAGUCACCAUCUGACUUAGGCAUCACACAUAUAGCAUGAUAACGAAAGAAAAAACUGGAUUAUUAAUGCUGGCAGCUA
rnacentral:lncRNA from 1 species